rnacentral:rRNA from 1 species
CUCUAUGGCAGUACCACCCUAAACAGGCUUGGUCUCAUUUAAUCUCAGUAGCUAAGCAGAGUUGGGCCUCAUUAGUACUUGGAUAGGAGAGUGUAUUUUGUGAUAUUCAUAGCUC